GUUAGAACUUGGAGCUGAGGUCCCUGGCUGCCAAUGAAUUCACAAGUGUAGGU
rnacentral:snoRNA from 1 species